CUAAACUAGAAGAUGCUGACAGCCAGGGAGGUAUAUCAGCAUUCAUUUUAUAAAACUGUCAAUUUCUACAAUGUCAUAUCUGCAUGGGAGUUACUUUUGGAAUGGUGGAACUUUUCUUCAUAUUUGUAUACUGUACUAUGUUUUUAUAAAAAUAUUUGUUGUUAAAAGUUCUGAUUUCUUUUAAAAUCUGCACUUUUUAAAAAUGAAACACACUUGAGACUCUUGUCGCAAAUAAAGAAUUUCAGCAAGGUAAGGUGCUAUAUAUGUUUGGACUAAU